UUUAUUGGAGAGUUUGAUCCUGGCUCAGGAUGAACGCUGGCGGCGUGCCUAAUACAUGCAAGUCGAGCGAAUGGAUUAAGAGCUUGCUCUUAUGAAGUUAGCGGCGGACGGGUGAGUAACACGUGGGUAACCUGCCCAUAAGACUGGGAUAACUCCGGGAAACCGGGGCUAAUACCGGAUAACAUUUUGAACCGCAUGGUUCGAAAUUGAAAGGCGGCUUCGGCUGUCACUUAUGGAUGGACCCGCGUCGCAUUAGCUAGUUGGUGAGGUAACGGCUCACCAAGGCAACGAUGCGUAGCCGACCUGAGAGGGUGAUCGGCCACACUGGGACUGAGACACGGCCCAGACUCCUACGGGAGGCAGCAGUAGGGAAUCUUCCGCAAUGGACGAAAGUCUGACGGAGCAACGCCGCGUGAGUGAUGAAGGCUUUCGGGUCGUAAAACUCUGUUGUUAGGGAAGAACAAGUGCUAGUUGAAUAAGCUGGCACCUUGACGGUACCUAACCAGAAAGCCACGGCUAACUACGUGCCAGCAGCCGCGGUAAUACGUAGGUGGCAAGCGUUAUCCGGAAUUAUUGGGCGUAAAGCGCGCGCAGGUGGUUUCUUAAGUCUGAUGUGAAAGCCCACGGCUCAACCGUGGAGGGUCAUUGGAAACUGGGAGACUUGAGUGCAGAAGAGGAAA
rnacentral:rRNA from 1 species